GGGCGUUUAACUCAGCGGUAGAGUGUCACCCUUACAAGGUGAAGGUCACAGGUUCAAAUCCUGUAGCGCCCA
rnacentral:tRNA from 1 species